CUUUUUGACAGUCUCUGUACUGGUCUCUUUUUUGCCAGGCUCCAUCUCCUUGAUUAUCUUUUCCGCCUCCUUAUCUUUCCCUCUGCUCCUGCUGUCCUUUCUAGUCUCUUGACUAGCUUUUGUUAUUGUCUCUCUGCCCGGGUCUUUACUGGUCUCUCUGCCAGUGUCUUUACUGGUCUCUCUGCCAGUGUCUUUACUGGUCUCUCUGCCAGUGUCUUUACUGGUCUCUCUGCCAGUGUCUUUACUGGUCUCUCUGCCAGUGUCUUUACUGGUCUCUCUGCCAGUGUCUUUACUGGUCUCUCUGCCAGUGUCUUUACUGGUCUCUCUGCCAGUGUCUUUACUGGUCUCUCUGCCAGUGUCUUUACUGGUCUCUCUGCCAGUGUCUUUACUGGUCUCUCUGCCAGUGUCUUUACUGGUCUCUCUGCCAGUGUCUUUACUGGUCUCUCUGCCAGUGUCUUUACUGGUCUCUCUGCCAGUGUCUUUACUGGUCUCUCUGCCAGUGUCUUUACUGGUCUCUCUGCCAGUGUCUUUACUGGUCUCUCUGCCAGUGUCUUUACUGGUCUCUCUGCCAGUGUCUUUACUGGUCUCUCUGCCAGUGUCUUUACUGGUCUCUCUGCCAGUGUCUUUACUGGUCUCUCUGCCAGUGUCUUUACUGGUCUCUCUGCCAGUGUCUUUACUGGUCUCUCUGCCAGUGUCUUUACUGGUCUCUCUGCCAGUGUCUUUACUGGGGUCACUGCAGGUUUCUUUGCCAAUGCGUUUGUCCACUUCCACCCCAGUCUCCUGGGUCAUUUGAAUUGUUUCUGGGGUGGCCUCUCUGUCCAUCUCGGUCUCAUUGUCUUUGUCAGUCUCUUUCCUGGUCGGUUUCUCCUCUCCUACAGAUGUAGGGGCAGGUUCUGGGGUAGUCUGGCUCUGGUCUCUGAUCGAACUGGAGGGAACUAAGAAACAGCAACAUCAUCGCCACCUUCAUCACUAUCCCCAAUGUUAAAUGUCUAGUUGAUGUGUUACCCUCUCCCUCCCUUCCACCUCUCCCUCCCCUCUAACUCACCCAGUUUCUUGCCAGGUGGUAGCAUGGGCAUCAGGUCUCCCAUGUUCUCUCUCUUCUUGAUCGCCUUCAAGAUCACUAAGGCUACAGAAUACAGAGUUAAUCACUCACACAAACAAAGGUGAUCAAACAAAUGUGUACGUACACACACACACACACACACUGACCUUUCUCAUAGAUGACUGACUCCCCGAUGUAGCGUUGCAACAUCAUGAACUUAUAAGGGAUAGAGGGAGAAGGAGAGAGCGAGGGAUGAGGACAAUGCAUCACUACAGGGUAUAACUGUGGGUUUUUUGUGUUGGUUUGGAGUGUUUUACCUGGACACGUCUGGUGGAGUGUGUGUGUGUGUGUGUGUGUGUGUAAUACCUGUAGACAACCCAUGGCAUGUAUUUUCUCAGCCUGUUGUGCCAGGUCCAGCAGUAUUUCGCUACUCUUAUCAGACUCCUCUACCUCUUUCACAGAGCCUGGAUGGGCACGCUCCUACACACACAGACUUGUAUAAGAGGGCUAUAAUAGGCUUUUUUGUUGUUGUGUUGGAGCAACAAAUUGGUCAAUCUUUGUGUGUAUAUUUACCAGGAACUUGGUGACAUGUUCAUAGCUGUGUAUGUGAGCGAUGCUGAGUCCGUCUGACAACUUCCUCUCACACAACAAACAGAGGAAGCCCCAGCCUGGAGACGAGGCCCCGGCCCUAGUAACACUGUACUGAACCAGGAACUGCAGACCUGAGAGAAAAAAUAAAGAAAAAUAGAGUUAUUGACCUGAACACAGAGGUGAGGGGUAAUUCUGAUGGGAACUACUUUUCUAGGUCUAAC
rnacentral:lncRNA from 1 species